GACGAACGCUGGCGGCGUGCUUAACACAUGCAAGUCGAACGGAAAGGCCCUGCUUUUGUGGGGUGCUCGAGUGGCGAACGGGUGAGUAACACGUGAGUAACCUGCCCUUGACUUUGGGAUAACUUCAGGAAACUGGGGCUAUUACCGGAUAGGAGCCCCUGCUGCAGGGUGGGGGUGGGAAAGUUUCGGCGGUUGGGGAUGGACUCGCGGCUUAUCAGCUUGUUGGUGGGGUAGUGGCUUACCAAGGCUUUGACGGGUAGCCGGCCUGAGAGGGUGACCGGCCACAUUGGGACUGAGAUACGGCCCAGACUCCUACGGGAGGCAGCAGUGGGGAAUAUUGCACAAUGGGCGGAAGCCUGAUGCAGCAACGCCGCGUGCGGGAUGACGGCCUUCGGGUUGUAAACCGCUUUCGCCUGUGACGAAGCGUGAGUGACGGUAAUGGGUAAAGAAGCACCGGCUAACUACGUG
rnacentral:rRNA from 1 species